rnacentral:lncRNA from 1 species
UGGGAACGCUCGGUAAUUUAGAUAGGUGAGGAGUGGGUCGAGACGUGGGUCUUAUGGUGCGAAAGAAAAGAGAUGAACCCGAUGGGGGUGUUGAUGACAUAGGAAGUAGUGGAUAUUGUUAAAGAACACGAGUGGCAUCCGAACGAUAAAUGAUGACGAGUGGCAUUAAUGUAGUGUAAAUAAUGUUAAGGAUUUUAUAGGUUGGCGAAUUUCGUAAAGUUGUUUGGAGUCUUGAAGAGUUGAUCGCAGAAGUUUUUGAGAAGAGAUUCAAAUUGGAGGACGAAGACUCAUUCGGAAAGAUCGACACCUAAGGUAUGAAGAUAAGAUCAUUUGUGGUGAAGAUACAUAAUUAGAAUAAGUUCAGAAGGCUUAGAUUGUUUUAAAACAACUUUUCUGAACUUUCAUGUGUUCUGGGACCGGUCUCUG